rfam:Felis catus isolate Cinnamon breed Abyssinian chromosome C2, whole genome shotgun sequence.
GCCUGUGUGGCUCAGUCAGUUGAGCGUCUGACUUGGGCUCAGGUCAUGAUCUUGUAGUUUGUGGGUUCGAGCCCCAUGUCAGACU